rnacentral:rRNA from 1 species
AUUGAACGCUGGCGGCAUGCUUUACACAUGCAAGUCGAACGGACUUAGGUGCUUGCACCUAGGUUAGUGGCGAACGGGUGAGUAAUGCAUCGGAACGUACCGUGUAAUGGGGGAUAACGCAGCGAAAGUUGUGCUAAUACCGCAUACGAUCUACGGAUGAAAGCAGGGGAUCGCAAGACCUUGCGUUAUACGAGCGGCCGAUGUCGGAUUAGCUAGUUGGUAGGGUAAAGGCCUACCAAGGCAACGAUCCGUAGCGGGUCUGAGAGGAUGAUCCGCCACACUGGGACUGAGACACGGCCCAGACUCCUACGGGAGGCAGCAGUGGGGAAUUUUGGACAAUGGGCGCAAGCCUGAUCCAGCCAUGCCGCGUGAGUGAAGAAGGCC